rnacentral:rRNA from 1 species
AUUGAACGCUGGCGGCAGGCCUAACACAUGCAAGUCGAGCGCGAAAGUUCUUCGGAAUGAGUAAAGCGGCGGACGGGUGAGUAAUACAUGGGAAUCUGCCUGGUAGUGGGGGACAACGUUUCGAAAGGAACGCUAAUACCGCAUACGCCCUACGGGGAAAGGGGGGAGUCGUUCGGACCUCUCGCUAUCAGAUGAGCCCA